AGCUGCCUACUACUAGCCUGAAACUUUCACCUAUCCAGGUGAACUGGAUCUAUGCUGCCCAGCUUAGCUGCCCCUGAAGGUCAAUUAUGAGAAGCCGGGAGCUUUGCCGACCAAGAUGAUCCAUCAAUGCCCCUCCUUGCAAAUCUUAACAGCUGACAGUGAUCUGGAUGAUGAUGCUAAACCCAUGUGGCUAACUCAUUAUAUCCAUCUCUUGUUUUUAAUAAUCAUAGCACCCUUCUGGAAUCCAAGAGAGUACAUGGAAAUUACUUCCUCUUAAAUAACACUACAAAUAUUCAGAACUAAAAUAUCACUCAAUGUGAUUCUUUUCUUUCAAAAGAAAUGUGUACAUAUUUAUUGGGCGUUUUGAUGUAGCCCUGCAAUCCAGACAGUAUAUUGCAUUAUAAGCGAUUAGCAGAUCAGAUUUAAAAAUUUUAAAAAGCCCUUUAUGCUCAUCAAACAUGGAGAUACACUUGCUUUUUACGACAGGCCAACACUAAUAAUGGCAAUUUGUGUAUUUAUAAAAUCUAUGUCUAACUUUCAUAUGGCUAUUUACUGAAAAUGCUUUAUGCAGUACAAUUGCUUUAUAUUUUUA